CCUACGGGUGACAGCAGUGAGGAAUAUUGGUCAAUGGACGAGAGUCUGAACCAGCCAAGUAGCGUGAAGGAUGACUGCCCUAUGGGUUGUAAACUUCUUUUAUAAAGGAAUAAAACGAGGCACGUGUGCCUUUUUGCAUGUACUUUAUGAAUAAGGAUCGGCUAACUCCGUGCCAGCAGCCGCGGUAAUACGGAGGAUCCGAGCGUUAUCCGGAUUUAUUGGGUUUAAAGGGAGCGUAGAUGGGUUGUUAAGUCAGUUGUGAAAGUUUGCGGCUCAACCGUAAAAUUGCAAUUGAUACUGGCAGGCUGGAGUGCAGUUGCGGUAGGCGGAAUGCGUGGUGUAGCGGUGAAAUGCUUAGAUAUCACGAAGAACACCGAUUGCGAAGGCAGCUCACGAAACUGCGAUUGACACUGAUGCUCGAAAGCGUGGGUAUCAAACAGGAUUAGAUACCCUGGUAGUC
rnacentral:rRNA from 1 species